GACGAACGCUGGCGGCGUGCUUAACACAUGCAAGUCGAACGAAGUGGCGAACGGGUGAGUAACGCGUAAUCAACCUGCCCUUCAGAGGGGGACAACAGUGGGAAACGACUGCUAAUACCGCAUACUGAAGGCGGGGAUUGCGGCUGAUUGGCUAGUUGGGGGGGUAACGGCCCACAAAGGCGAUGGUCAGGAGCCGGGCUGAGAGGAUGAACGGCCACAUUGGGACUGAGACACGGCCCAGAAUCCUACGGGAGGCAGCAGUGGGGAAUCUUCCGCAAUGGACGAAAGUCUGACGGAGCAACGCCGCGGGAGUGAUGACGGCCUUCGGGUUGUAAAGCUCUGUUAAUCGGGACGCGGUACCGGAAUAGAAAGCCACGGCUAACUACGUGCCAGCAGCCGCGGUAAUAC
rnacentral:rRNA from 1 species